CUUGUGACUUAUGAUAAUAAUAAUGGUUUUCUUGGUGUACUCUCUCUCUCAUUCACAUGUGAAAUACAGAUGCACGGGAGUAAAUGGGGUUUGGUUUCUCUCCACCCAAGUCACUGGUCAAGGCACAUGACAUCAUUCACCAUGAUGCAAUGGCUCCUUCUUUCUUUCAUCUGGGUUGCAACUGCCUUUCCCUAACCUUGCCAGACUGAUCCCAGCCAGUUUAAACUAAGCUUUAUGACCARGAUGCCCAACCAGAAAUUUCAGCUCAGAAGAAYGUCAGCCUAACAGCAAAGCUGCUGUAGUCCAUGAAGGGAAUGAUCUCUGAGCAGGCCAAGACCAUGAGGAGAAUACUGGCACAGAGAACAAGAGAAACUUGGAGCUGCUUCCAGCCAUGGCAUUUGCAAGAUUCAGCAUCUGUCAUGGGGAAACCAACUAAAGCAGGAUGUUAGAAUGUAAAAUUCUUGUUUCUUUUAGAGCAAGAAAAUGAACUCAGUAAAGAUCUUUUUUCUAAGACAUUCAUUUUGUCUGAAAUGAAUAUGUCAGUUUCAGAAACCAGUUUCCAGCUAGCUCCAGAUGAAAAAUAAUCUUGUUUUGAUUUAUGUAUUUAAUAUUUCACACUGAAAAUGUAAAACUACAGCAGUAAUUUUAUAGUGACUGAGAUCAGAAAUAUAAGGUUAAUUUAUUAUAUGUAUUAUUUAGCUUUAUAAAACUAUAAAUCAACAUUACUGAAGAUUAAAUGUAUGUUAGACUGUGAGGACCUUUUGAUGUAUAAUAAUGUUUUACAUAUGACCUUUGAAGAUAUGAUGUUAAUCUGAAUUAUUCAUGGAAACCUUGGAUUUUCCUUUGACUUAAUCAAAUUAAUAAAAGGGUUUAAUUUCUAAAACCUAUUAACACGCUGCAGGAGGAAAGCAACAGUAAUGAAUUUAUCUUCCGUGGGGUUUUUUUGGAUUUUGGUUUGCAAGGGACUAAGCAAACAAAGGGAAGCAUGGUAAUCCUAGAGGUUUUGUACUUUUCUUUGUAGUAGAACCUGAUCACAGGGCCACUGUUUGGAAUCUGAGACUGGUCUAGUUAUGAGCUCUAUAGUUCAGGAAUUAUCUCAGCUGUAAAAAACUGGACAGAAAUUGCAACAGAGGUGUCAGACCAAGAGCAAUUUUUAAAAUCAAUUGUUUAAAAACCUAUGUUCAUUUACAAAUGUCAUUAUUUAUUACAAAUAAAUCAUUAUUUAUUUACUGGA